rnacentral:rRNA from 1 species
GAUCUGGCUCAGGAUGAACGCUAGCUACAGGCUUAACACAUGCAAGUCGAGGGGCAGCAUGUUGGUGCUGCAACCAAUGAUGGCGACCGGCGCACGGGUGAGUAACGCGUAUCCAACCUUCCCUAUAGUAGAGGAUAGCCCGGCGAAAGUCGGAUUAAUACUCUAUGUUUUCCAAUGGCAGACAUCUAAAAAUGGAACAAAGGUUUACCGCUAUAGGAUGGGGAUGCGUCUGAUUAGAUGGUAGGCGGGGUAAUGGCCCACCUAGUCGACGAUCAGUAGGGGUUCUGAGAGGAAGGUCCCCCCACAUUGGAACUGAGACACGGUCCAAACUCCUACGGGAGGCAGCAGUGAGGAAUAUUGGUCAAUGGGCGAGAGCCUGAACCAGCCAAGUAGCCGUGCAGGAUGACGGCCCUAUGGGUUGUAAACUGCUUUUAUACAGGGAUAAAGUGACGUACGUGUACGUUAUUGUAGGUACUGUAUGAAUAAGGACCGGCUAAUUCCGUGCCAGCCGCCGC